GGGAACCUGUCCUUUUAGGUUCGGAAUAACAGUGAAGAAAUUUACUGCUAAUACCGGAUGAUGUCUUCGGACCAAAGAUUUAUCGCCAAGGGAUCGGCCCGCGUUGGAUUAGGUAGUUGGUGGGGUAAUGGCCUACCAAGCCGACGAUCCAUAGCUGGUUUGAGAGGAUGAUCAGCCACACUGGGACUGAGACACGGCCCAGACUCCUACGGGAGGCAGCAGUGGGGAAUCUUAGACAAUGGGGGAAACCCUGAUCUAGCCAUGCCGCGUGAUCGAUGAAGGCCUUAGGGUUGUAAAGAUCUUUCAGUGGGGAAGAUAAUGACUGUACCCACAGAAGAAGCCCCGGCUAACUCCGUG
rnacentral:rRNA from 1 species